GAUGAACGCUGGCGGCGUGCCUAAUACAUGCAAGUCGAGCGAACAGACGAGGAGCUUGCUCCUCUGACGUUAGCGGCGGACGGGUGCGUAACACGUGGAUAACCUACCUAUAAGACUGGGAUAACUUCGGGAAACCGGAGCUAAUACCGGAUAAUAUAUUAAACCGCAUGGUUCAAUAGUGAAAGACGGUUUUGCUGUCACUUAUAGAUGGAUCCGCGCCGCAUGAGCUAGUUGGUAAGGUAACGGCUUACCAAGGCGACGAUGAGUAGCCGACCUGAGAGGGUGAUCGGCCACACUGGAACUGAGACACGGUCCAGACUCCUACGGGAGGCAGCAGUAGGGAAUCUUCCGCAAUGGGCGAAAGCCUGACGGAGCAACGCCGCGUGAGUGAUGAAGGUCUUCGGAUCGUAAAACUCUGUUAUUAGAGAAGAACAAAGGUGUAAGUAACUAUGCACGUCUUGACGGUAGCUAAUCAGAAAGCCACGGCUAACUACGUG
rnacentral:rRNA from 1 species